rnacentral:rRNA from 1 species
CCUACGGGGCGCAGCAGUGAGGAAUAUUGGUCAAUGGACGAGAGUCUGAACCAGCCAAGCAGCGUGAAGGAUGACUGCCCUAUGGGUUGUAAACUUCUUUUAUAUGGGACUAAAAUGUUCCAAGUGUGGGAUUUUGUAUGUACCAUAUUAAUAAGGAUCGGCUAACUCCGUGCCAGCAGCCGCGGUAAUACGGAGGAGCCGAGCGUUAUCCGGAUUUAUUGGGUUUAAAGUGAGCGUAGGUGGAUUGUUAAGUCAGUUGUGAAAGUUUGCGGCUCAACCGUAAAAUUGCAGUUGAAACUGGCAGUCUAGAGUACAGUAGAGGUGGGCGGAAUUCGUGGUGUAGCGGUGAAAUGCUUAGAUAUCACGAAGAACUCCGAUUGCGAAGGCAGUUCACUGGACUGCAACUGACACUGAGGCUCGAAAGUGUGGGUAUCAAACAGGAUUAGAUACCCCGGUAGUC